AUAAAGGCAGUGAUGAGGAGUAGUAGCCUCCCCUUCCCCUACAGAGAGCCGGUGGUUGGUGCAAACCGGUGAGGAAGCAGGUGAACUCGCCUCGGAGCCGUCGUGGUGAAAAGCCGGUGUCAGUUGUCGGUUGACGGUUUUCGGUGCUAACUGAAAGCUGGAAACCGUGAACUGAAAACGGUUUAGCCAUGGCCGUCAGCCCGCGUAAAGGGUGCACGAGGUCCGCCGUCCAGGCGGAUGAAAGAGGGUGGUACCGCGGAAGCUAUUUCAAGCCUUCGCCCCUUGC
rnacentral:ncRNA from 1 species